rnacentral:lncRNA from 1 species
CUCCGAUCCAGAAGACUGCCCAUCCGACCCGCAAGCUUCCAUCUUCCCCCAACCUUAGAUCCUGUCGGAUCUCCUUCUCACUUCGGCUUCCCUCGCUCCGAUGCCUCUCCCCCAUGAGCAUGGUUCCAGAAGGUUGAAGCUCCUCGUCCUACGGAAUGAAGCAAGGAAAAGCUAAGCCCCAACUCCCUUGUACUCAUUCUACUAGACCUCAUCACUAAUACUACUCCUAAUCCUCUCACUGUGCUUGGCAGGCGUAACAAUCCCUCCUCCUUCAGCUGAUCCUUGUCCUCAAGGAUCGAAGUUGGGAAACUGGUGCUUAAGCGUCCAAUAAUCCUCCCAGGUAGCCCGCUCGACCGGUAAAUUACUCCACUGUACCAAUACUUCGGUUGCCGCUCGGUUUCCGCGUUGCCCCAUCCUCCUCUCGAUUAUCCGUUCGGGCUCAGCUAGCACUUCCCCUUCCUCUCCCACUAGGGGUAUCAUAGGUGAAGCCGUGACCGAACUUGGCGGGCUCUUCUUAAGAAGUGAUACAUGAAACACGGGAUGGACUCUAGAUCCUUCAGGUAACCGCAAUUUGUAAGCCACAGCGCCGAUGCGCUCCAAAAUCUGAAAGGGACCAAAGUAUCGAGCCGUGAGUUUAAUGUCUUUCCGUAUCGCGAUCGUUGACUGUCUAUAGGGCUGUAACUUGAGGUAUACCCAAUCUCCAACUGUGUACUCUCUUUCCUUCCUAUGUUUGUCCUCCUGCUGCUUCAUUCGGUUUUGGGCCACUUGGAGACGAUCCCGCAGCUCCUUGGUUAACUUGUCUCUUUGCAUNUCCGAUGCCUCUCCCCCAUGAGCAUGGUUCCAGAAGGUUGAAGCUCCUCGUCCUACGGAAUGAAGCAAGGAAAAGCUAAGCCCCAACUCCCUUGUACUUAUUCUACUAGACCUCAUCACUAAUACUACUCCUAAUCCUCUCACUGU